rnacentral:sRNA from 1 species
GAGACUUAGAAAUACUGGAGAAUCUUAAUCAGCUCAUAGCCAUUGACAACCAACUUCUGCAUGUGAAGGAUUUGGAGUUUUUACUGAACAAGUUGAUGAAGCUAUGGAAAAUUGAUCUACAUGGAAAUCCUGUUUGUCUCAAACCAAAAUACAGGGACAGACUGAUAUUAGUGUCCAAAUCACUGGGUAACUUCAAAACAAUGCAUCACAUAGUUCCUGUUUAUUACCCACAGGAAUCUCUCUUUGAAGCAAUCUGAAAGCUUGCUGACAAAAAAUGGUGUGCAUGAACCUCACCUUUUCCAUAACCCCAAAGAAAAAGAAAAUUUGUUUGUGGAAAAUGAGUAAAUUCAGCCUCAAGUGACAGGAAACGUUUGAUUUUGUUUUUAACCGUAUAGGACUAGGCAACAAUAUCUUUUGUGGGUUUGUAGCUUUAUGGUAUCUCAUAAUAUAAGAAAAACGUUUAA